GGCUUACAAUCUUCGACUGCAUCAAGUCAUGAUGUGCUGACAAAGUCAUUCCAAAAGAUGACAGUGGAGGAAAUUACCCCUAACCAAAAUAGCAUGAUGGUUAAGCAAUCUCCUAACCCACUGGAUGCCAUAACUAGGAGUUUAUCUGAGUUGCCGGCUCAGUCACAAUUCUCUCAACAGGAAGGUGUUGAGGAUGCAAGUUCAAGAAACUAACCAGUCUAUGCAACCACCAUAUUUAAGCACAAUUCUUUCAGGAUGUGCACUUGGUUUUUAGAGGGAACGGAGAUGGACGCCGAUGGAACGUCAGAUGCACCUUUUUAUUUUGUCCAUUGGUAUGCCUUGUUUUGACGUAAUUUGCUGAGGUGCAUGGAAGAAAACAAAGAAAUAUAUAGGUAUUUAUUCAAGGAGAGAAGAAAGAGAGAAAGAACUUAGGUUUUUAACUGGGUAGAAUUUUAAUGUUCAUGGUUUUUGUAUAGCGUGGUUUUUGGUGUGGAUGAUUAUCUUCUUCGUCUACAUUUUCUGGUGGUUGGCAAAAUAUGAGAUAUUCUUCAAGGCGAAGCAUCGUGUUAC
rnacentral:misc_RNA from 1 species